CCGCCACCUGUAGCGAUUGUGACAUUGGUCGCUCAUCAACACGAUCGUCAACGCAUCUGGCUGGUACUUUGACAGCCAAUUGUAGAAGUGGUGAAAUGUACACGGAUCGCUUCACUCAUAUUCAGAUUCAGAACGAGGAAUACUUCACUGAAGAUGAUGUGAAAUGGCUAUCAGUUUUGAUCAGUUCAACAUGAUUGUAUUCACCCGUGGACGGAUAUCCACAACCAAUCAUAAACGUAGAGCGCGGUCCAGGAUCGGAAGAAUGCCGACGUGGAAUGCGGUGGCGAGGAAAUUGAAACUACUCGGCGUCGGCACGCCCGGCUUCCCUAAAAUUCGGGUCAGUCUUUAAUACCGAGAGUUGGAAAACCACGGCGAACAAAGACCAAGGUAAUCGUAGAACGGGCCAAGACUGGACCCCGUGCCACAACCCCUUUCUUUCAAGAUUAAUGGUAUUGCCACCCGAUCAGUUAUAUCGUUUUCAUUAACAAAUUCCUGGCGGCCAGCAAAUUCCUUCUUUUUUCUUGUUUUCUUUACGUAGGAGUUGGGGUGAUGGUUUAA
rnacentral:lncRNA from 1 species